GGAGAGGGGGGCAUAGUGGAAGGGGUGGGCAAAGCGAAAAAUUUGAUUUUACCAACACUCUUUCACCCAACGGCACUCGUGCUUCACGUAAGCCAAGCACAGGGCCGACCAAGGUCAUUGACCAAAAUCAGUCCGGCUAGCGCCACCGAGCAGGCUACAUGACUGCGCGAUGUAGAUCGAGUGAGUUUCUUACGAAAUUCAAGGAUUUUGGAAACUGGAUAUUAUUGUGAAAAAUGGUUCAUAAUUAUUACAAAAGUAAAACGAACCAAGGCUCAUGGAGAGAAGAUCAAAUGAGAAGAGCGAUGGAGGAAGCGAGUCUUACUACGAUUAGUUCGGCAUCACAAAAUAUGGUAUCCUAAUUGGAACUCUUCAUUGUCAUUUGAAAUCUGGUGAUGCAUCGAAGAAGAUUGAUGGGUUUCGUCCAGUAUUUUUCAAAAAAACUGGAGCAAAAAAUAUAUGAUCUUGCAGUAGUAAGGGACAAGGUUUUUUAUGGCCUAAAACAGUUCCUAAUUACUAAAUAAGUUGUUUAUGUUAUUUCAUUUAAUUGACCUCAUUAGCAAAAUGCUCAAAUACAGUUGAUAAACGCUUAAUAAGUGCCUUUUUCACUUUGCCCAAUGUGCAAUUCCACUUUACCCUUGUGAUAAGGGCAAAGCGGAAAAUUAUAGACUAUAAAAAAAACUUAUUUUAUGCCAAAAUAGUUAAUAAUUCGUAAAUUUUUUUUAGAGUUAUCUAUAAUAUAAUACUUGUAGUAUCAUUUCGAUUAAAACUAGUCUUCGUAACUUA